UCACCCUGUGAACAUACCUAUNACGUUGCCUCGGCGGGAACAGACGGCCCCGUAACACGGGCCGCCCCCGCCAGAGGACCCCCUAACUCUGUUUCUAUAAUGUUUCUUCUGAGUAAACAAGCAAAUAAAUUAAAACUUUCAACAACGGAUCUCUUGGCUCUGGCAUCGAUGAAGAACGCAGCGAAAUGCGAUAAGUAAUGUGAAUUGCAGAAUUCAGUGAAUCAUCGAAUCUUUGAACGCACAUUGCGCCCGCCAGUAUUCUGGCGGGCAUGCCUGUUCGAGCGUCAUUACAACCCUCAGGCCCCCGGGCCUGGCGUUGGGGAUCGGCGGAAGCCCCCUGCGGGCACAACGCCGUCCCCCAAAUACAGUGGCGGUCCCGCCGCAGCUUCCAUUGCGUAGUAGCUAACACCUCGCAACUGGAGAGCGGCGCGGCCACGCCGUAAAACACCCAACUUCUGAAUGUUGACCUCGAAUCAGGUAGGAAUACCCGCUGAACUUAAGCAUAUCAAUAAGCGGAGGA
rnacentral:rRNA from 1 species